CUCAAAGUGUGUUCCUCAACCAGCAUCACUGACGUCCCAUGAACACUGGUUAGAAAUUCAGAAUCUUAGGUCCUACUCCAGACCUGGUGCCCAAUAACUGCCUUUUAAUAACAUCCUCAGGGAAUUUUAGGCACACAAAAUUGUGAAAAACACAGAACCAUUUCUCUAUAGUUCCCAGGCCCUAUUUAACUCUAUAAAGUUUCAGAGUCCAGAGGUCAAGGUUUCGGAAGGGAUAGGGUUCUGGAAUGUUAAAAGUCUAGAUUUUUAAGGUUCUAGGAUUCUAAUACUCUGAGGUUUUAGGAUUCUAAUGUCCUCUGGUUCUCAGAUUUGAGCCUUCUAGGUUUCCACUGUUCUAGAAUCCUAAGGGUCUGAAGUUCUGAGGCCCCCAGUACUGAGCAUCUCUGUGGGUGGCAGGCAGGGUGCUCACAGCAGAUAAUAACCAGUCCUCUUCCUUCUCCAUCUCUCCUCUUGCUCCUCUGGCCCCUUUCCUUCCUUUCCUCUCUCCAUUUCUCUCUCUGUGUGUCUCUCUUUCCCUCCUUGUCACCCUCAGCUGUGCCCAGCAGUCCGUGGCCUCCUUGAAAGCCUGGAUGCGGAGUAUGUUAAGAACCGCAUUGAGGAAGUUUAUAACCUCUAACAAGGAAAUUAAGAGAACAGUUGAAGAAAUCCACUACAAAGCCUGCCUGCUGCCAGUGCUGCCACCAUCCCGCAGGAGUGACAACUGAGCCCAGUCAAGGAUACCUCUCAGAUACUCCUCACAAUCAGGACACCCUAUGCUCGUCACCCUCCACCCCGAGCAAUAAAAAGCCAUUUCUGCACCUCUUUUGUGGCCUGUUGCAUUCCUUCCAUUGGGAUUUCAGGGAAGGUGAAGUAUGGGCAAUCAGGGCAGCAGAGACCUGGAUCCAAAGCUGGAUGGGAAUUUGGGAUUAUCCAGCCCUACCUUCUUGUCUUACAAAUGGGAACACUGAGGUCCAGGAUGGGCAAGAAGGUGACCUGAGGUCACAUACAGACAGCAUCAUUCUGCUUCUGCUAACACCACCAUUAUGGAGGGUUAUCUUCACUAGCACACCUGACCUCAUGACUCCCUGACAGUACACUUCUGCCAGGAGACACAACUCUUGUUGGAAACUGAGGGCCAUAGAGGAUGAGUGGCUUGUCGAGGUGACAGGGUAGCAACUGGCAGGACUAAGAUUUAAACCCAUGGCUGUGGGAUCCCCUGCUCAGAGAGGUGACUUCCCAUCUCCCAGUACUCAGCCACCUCUCCCCAGCCCCCAGCAGGUCCUGCUGUCCUGGCCUUGAUAUCUCCUUCUCAGGACUGAUGAGGUCCUCUUGUGGCCCUUCUGUCUCCUCAACAUGCAAGCCCUCAGCUUCCCCUUGGCCUUGGAGUGGGGAGCAGAGCACCCCUUACCGCUGCAUCACCUCUGCAGAGGACUGACC
rnacentral:lncRNA from 1 species